GCUCAGUAACACGUGGACAACGUACCCUAAAGUGGAGCAUAAUCUCGGGAAACUGAGGAUAAUUCUCCAUAGACCAUGAGAUCUGGAAUGACUUAUGGUUCAAAGUUCCGGCGCUUUAGGAUCGGUCUGCGGCCUAUCAGGUAGUAGUGGGUGUAACGUACCCCCUAGCCGUUGACGGGUAUGGGCCUUGAGAGAGGGAGCCCAGAGUUGGAUUCUGAGACACGAAUCCAGGCCCUACGGGGCGCAGCAGUCGCGAAAACUUCACAAUGGGCGAAAGCCCGAUGAGGGAAUUCCUAGUGCUAGCACUUUUGUGCUAGCUUUUCUUCAGCGUAGAUAACUGGAGGAAUAAGGGCUGGGUAAGACGGGUGCCAGCCGCCGCGGUAAUACCCGCAGCCCGAGUGGUGGUCGAUUUUAUUGAGUCUAAAACGUUCGUAGCCGGUCUAAUAAAUCCUUGGGUAAAUCGGAAGGCUUAACUUUCCGAAUUCCGAGGAGACUGUUAGGCUUGGGAUCGGGAGAGGUAAGAGGUACUUCAGGGGUAGGGGUAAAAUCCUGUAAUCCUUGGAGGACCACCGGUGGCGAAGGCGUCUUACUAGAACGAAUCCGACGGUGAGGGACGAAGCCCUAGGUCGCAAACGGGAUUAGAUACCCCGGUAGUCUAGGGUGUAAACGCUGCAGACUUGGUGUUGGGGGCCCUUCGGGGGCAUUCAGUGCCGGAGAGAAGUUGUUAAGUCUGCUACUUGGGGAGUACGUCCGCAAGGAUGAAACUUAAAGGAAUUGGCGGGGGAGCACCGCAACGGGAGGAGCGUGCGGUUUAAUUGGAUUCAACACCGGAAAACUCACCAAGGGAGACCAUCACAUGAAAGCCAGGCUAAUGACUUUGCUUGAUUCUUGGAGAAAUGGUGCAUGGCCA
rnacentral:rRNA from 1 species